AGAGUUUGAUCCUGGCUCAGGACGAACGCUUGCGGCGUGCCUAAAAAAUGCAAGUCGAGCGGAGGAGAGGCUUCGGUUUCUCCUUAGCGGCGAACGGUCGCGUAACACGUAAGCAACCUGCCCCGAAGACCGGGACAACAUUCCGAAAGGGGUGCUAAUACCGGAUGUGGCCGCCUGGGGACAUCUCCUGGCGUCUAAAUCACUUGUUGGCUUCGGGAGGGGCUUGCGGCCUAUCAGUUAGAUGGGGGGGUAACGGCCUCCCAUGACGACGACGGGUAGCUGGUCGGAGAGGAUGGUCAGCCACACGGGGACUGAGACACGGCCCCGACUCCUACGGGAGGAAGCAGUGGGGAAUAUUGCGCAAUGGGGGCAACCCUGACGCAGCAACGCCGCGUGAGUGAAGAAGGCCUUCGGGUUGUAAAGCUCUUUCGUCUGGGACAAAGUGCAUUUCAUCUAAUAGGUGUAGUGUUUGAUGGUACCAGAAGAAGAAGCACCGGCAAACUUCGUGCCAGCCGCCGCGGUAAUAC
rnacentral:rRNA from 1 species